rnacentral:lncRNA from 1 species
CUUCGUAAUGUUUUAGAGAUAACUGCUCUAAGUAUGUGUUUGUCAUUUGUUUCUGCAGUGUUUCCUGAGACUGUCCUAGACAGCCUAAUCAGAUGGUAACAGUUGUGUGGGGCAGGAAGACUUAAGCAGUAACCUUUAAUGUAUUGGAGAAUACUUCACGCUUGAACUUUCAAAGUUACCCAGCUGUCUACUAUGGGAAAGGACCCCCUCCAAUUCAGGGUGAUUAUUCUCCCCAGCUGCCAUGCAUUUUCCUACCCCAGGUCUUCAAAAACAUUUGGAGAGCUCCUUGUGGUCCUUGAGCAGAGUGGGUACGUGGAUGCCCAGUGCUUGGAGCAGUCAGACCACAAGUGUGGGAGAGAGCAGGCAGCCUCACAAAAUGCAUCACACCCAGAGGAAAGGUGAACCAGUCAGUAUACGGAUGCAUUUCUGAAAUAUUCAGCUUCUGAAAGGACUGCACGAGCCUCCGUGAGAUAGUCUGGGCAUCUGUGUGGCCACCAGCAUCAGGAUCACAGAUCUGCAGAAGGCAACACUGCACACAGUGUUUCAGAUCUGACAGAAGCAUAGCUACGGUUAAUACUAAAUGUAAAGCUGAACGAGAGCAACAACAAAAAGGUUGACAUCACCUUCCAUUUCAUAGUGGAUGAGAGCCUGCAUCAGCACUGACUUCUGAGCAAGAAAUCCUGGUCACUCAUUUGCCCUCAUUAUGGGUGAAACACUUCUGAUCAAAUAGCUCAUUAUACAUGGAAGUAAACAGAUGUGAAAGAAUUUUGGGAAACCCCUCAACCCACACUGAUUUAGACUUUGGAACUGUUUCAUGCUGCUCUAAAUUGUUCCUGGUAACCAGCAGUCCAAAGAAGACAUACAGCAUAUCUGGGCCCAUUGUCCUGAGGAGUGCACAUAGCACAUUUACAACAGACCAGAAUCCUGAAGAAUGUACAUACCACAUGUUUCAGAACUACAAAGGCAUUGUAGUGUGUACUAGAUAUGCUGGCAAAAUUAAGUUGAUGAGGGUAAUCAGAAAUAUAUAUAUAUACAUAUUUUAAUGA